UACGGAGGGUGCAAGCAUUAAUCGGAUUUAUUGGGCGUAAAGGGCGCGUAGGCGGAGAUGUAAGUCAGAUGUGAAAUCCCGAGGCUCAACCUCGGAACAGCAUUUGAAACUGCAUCCCUUGAGGAUAGGCGGAGAAAACGGAAUUCCACAUGUAGCGGUGAAAUGCGUAGAUAUGUGGAAGAACAUCGGUGGCGAAGGCGGUUUUCUAGCUUAUUCCUGACGCUGAGGCGCGAAAGCAAGGGGAUCAAACAGG
rnacentral:rRNA from 1 species